UGUCGUUGUAGUAUAGUGGUAAGUAUUCCCGCCUGUCACCUGGGUGACCCGGGUUCGAUCACUGGCAACGGCGA
rnacentral:tRNA from 1 species